ensembl:lncRNA
GAGGUGGCGUUCACUGGACCAGGAAAAAAGAUUAGUCAUACAGAUUGAGAGAAAUCAAAUCCCUGAUCCAGAAGAAUUGUACUGAUACAAAAUGGAACACCUCCAACAGGGGUAACAGCAAGGAUUCCCAACACCAAAUACAUCAUAGCUUGGGAAAUUCCCAACCAGCUCUAUUUCUAAUUUUAUCUCCUGGGAAUCCUCUUACCAAGUGCAUACAAGAACCGGGAACAUUUCCUUUUUGGCCAUCUACCCUCAUUUGUGCUGGCCACAAGCCAAAGGAUCUCCUUAUGUAUGUUGAGACCUAAGUUCUAAAGCUCUAAGUUCCAGCAUCUAAAACUGGACAUAAUAAAGACCGUCAAAGAUAACAAAAGGAUGGGACAGCUGCUUUGAAAAAUA